rnacentral:rRNA from 1 species
GAUGAACGCUGGCGGCGUGCCUAAUACAUGCAAGUCGAGCGAACAGACGAGGAGCUUGCUCCUCUGACGUUAGCGGCGGACGGGUGAGUAACACGUGGAUAACCUACCUAUAAGACUGGGAUAACUUCGGGAAACCGGAGCUAAUACCGGAUAAUAUAUUGAACCGCAUGGUUCAAUAGUGAAAGACGGUUUUGCUGUCACUUAUAGAUGGAUCCGCGCCGCAUUAGCUAGUUGGUAAGGUAACGGCUUACCAAGGCAACGAUGCGUAGCCGACCUGAGAGGGUGAUCGGCCAAACUGGAACUGAGACACGGUCCAGACUCCUACGGGAGGCAGCAGUAGGGAAUCUUCCGCAAUGGGCGAAAGCCUGACGGAGCAACGCCGUGUGAGUGAUGAAGGUCUUCGGAUCGUAAAACUCUGUUAUUAGGGAAGAACAAAUGUGUAAGUAACUAUGCACGUCUUGACGGUACCUAAUCAGAAAGCCACGGCUAACUACGUG